GGGUUUCUAGUUGGAGCUCCCUUCUUUUGAAGUAUUUGGGGAGCCAUUAUCCUUGGGAUGGGUUUUUAGCCUUUUUCUCCACUGAAGAGAGGUGCAAAGGCUGUUUAUAAAUGGAGAAGGAGGGAAAAGAAGAGCUAAUGACACCAUCUUUCAUGCUGCAGACCACUGGCAGCGAACUCCAGGAUACAGAUGAGCUAAGUUAAACUUCCUUCUUGAAGGAAAUGAUUCCAACCUACAACUUCCACUUAACUUAUAAGGAGCUGUGCGAUCCGUGCCCACUCGAUCUUCCCACUUGCCGAAGCUGUCCCACACGUGCACAGCAGAACCCCUGCCCUGCCCGGGCCCUCCUGGCCCACGUCGCGCGCUCCCUGGGCUCGCGGCUGUGCAUCCUCUUUUUUCCCGCCGCCCCCUCGCGCUGCUCUGGUUCGGUUUAAAUGAGCCCUUCUUCCCCCGUGCUCCGUGGAGGGAGCAACGUAGGGGGGGCUGUAAUUUUUGCACGGCAAAAUUACAGUUUUGCUUUUCUAUGGCGGGAUGACAAAACGCCUUAGUAUUUUCCAAAAAAGCGUGCCUGCCGUUAUUUUCUUUCCCUCCUUCUCCGCGAGGGCAUUACGGCGCGAACGCCCGAACCCCUCACACCUCCUUUCCUUCCCCUCCCUCUCUUUCAGCGAGGAGCGAAUGUG